rnacentral:rRNA from 1 species
GAUGUCAAAUAUGAUGGCUCAACCAUCAAGAGGCGUUGAAAACUGUUUAUCUAGAAUCUCGGAGAGGUAAGUGGAAGUUCCGAUGUGUAGCGGUGGAAUGCGUAGAUAUAUGGAGGAACACCAAUGGCGAAGGCAGCUUACUGGACGAAGAUUGACGCUGAGGUGCGAAAGCGUGGGGUAGCAAACAGGAUUAGAUACCCUGGUAG